UUUCUUACUAUGGCUCUGGAUUGAGUGUCGGGAUUUUUUGAUCUAUGGUUCCAAUUUACUGACGGCGACGUGUGCUGUUUGGCUUUUACUUUCCCAUUAUGCUUUCACAUUUUUUGAUUUGUUCCAGUCUAUUGUGGAUACGUGACUUCUUCAUGGAAAAUAAGUCAUGGUGAUGACUAAACGCAUCAAGGGCGGAGCUACAUGUGCAAAAACUAAAAACCGCAGAGGUGAUCAAAUACCACCA